CCUACCUUCAAGUUCAUCCAACUCAGAAAAAGUGCUGGGCAGCAAUGCCAAAUUUUUAGCAACUGUCCAAUUGCUUCAGCCAUGAUGCAUGAACAGCAAACUCCUAAGUGCUGCAGGUAACAUUUGAAAGUAGAACUUAUUCCUCUUCCCAAAGUAGAUGGGAGUUCCCUAACUCCCCACUUCCCUAUACCAAACACAAUCUUGGAAAGAUGCUAAUCACCCAAGGUGAAUCAGCCCAAAGGCAGUCAGCAUAUAGGAAGAGAAACUCAAACCUAGAUGGUCAAUCUUUAAAUGAUCCAGCACUGACUAGGCAGGUUUAAUUUUCAAACAGAAUCAUGCACUGGUCAUUUUCUCCUGCUGCAGGUCUACUUUUAAUUCUCAAGUCUUCCCAGAGAGCAGCAGACACAGCAAUACAACCAGAUUCAAAACUCAAAUCUGUGCUGCCUUAACAGGCUUGAAGAUGCCUCGGCCCUUGCCUCAGCAGCUAAGGAUAUAACGUGCAUGGGAUGUACAGCUACAAGAUGGUGGAGCCUCCAUCAGUCAGGAUACCUGAGUAACUAUAUGGAUCAGAGCCCCUGCUCCCAAUACAACCCAGAAUUGGAUAUGUAAGAUGAACAAGAAAUACAUCAAGAAAUAAACACCUAUUUCAGUAAGUCA